AGUGAACGCUGGCGGUAGGCCUAACACAUGCAAGUCGAACGGCAGCACAGUAAGAGCUUGCUCUUACGGGUGGCGAGUGGCGGACGGGUGAGGAAUACAUCGGAAUCUACUUUUUCGUGGGGGAUCACGUAGGUAAACUUACGCUAAUACCGCAUACGACCUACGGUUGAAAGCAGUGGAUCUUCGGCCCUUGCGCGAUUGAAUGCGCCGAUGUCGGAUUAGCUAGUUGGCGGGGUAAAGGCCCACCAAGGCGACGAUCCGUAGCUGGUCUGAGAGGAUGAUCAGGCACACUGGAACUGAGACACGGUCCAGACUCCUACGGGAGGCAGCAGUGGGGAAUAUUGGACAAUGGGCGCAAGCCUGAUCCAGCCAGACCGCGUGGGUGAAGAAGGACUUCGGGUUGUAAAGCCCUUUUGUUGGGAAAGAAAAGCAGCAGGUUAAUACCCCGCUGUUCUGACGGUACCCAAAGAAUAAGCACCGGCUAACUUCGUG
rnacentral:rRNA from 1 species